rnacentral:rRNA from 1 species
AACGAACGCUGGCGGCAUGCCUAACACAUGCAAGUCGAACGAGACAUUCGGGUCUAGUGGCGCACGGGUGCGUAACCCGUGGGAUCAUGCCCUUAGAUUCGGCAUAUCUCCCCGAAAGAGGUGCUAAUACCGGGUAAUAUCUCCGGACCAAAGCUUUAUCGCCGUUGGAUGGGUCCGCGUUGGAUUGGCUAGUUGGUAGGGUAAAAGCCUACCAAGGCGACGAUGCAGAGCUGGUCUGAGAGGAUGACCAGCCACGCUGGGACUGAGACACGGCCCAGACUCGUACGGGAGGGAGCAGUGGGGUAUAUAGGACAAGGGACGAAAGCGUGAUGCAGCAAUGCCGCGUGAGUGAUGAAGGGCUUAGUGUUGUAAAGCUCUUUUACCCGGGAUGAUAAUGACGGUACCGGGAGAAUAAGCACCGGCUAACUACGUG